CACCCACGUUUUUGACGCUGCCUGGCAGCUUCUGGUGCUGCUGUGCUUACUGGGAGGAAGAGGCGGGUCCUAGAUGGCUGGCGCUUGCGCAGUCGGCCUGGUGGAGAGCAAGACGGUAUUAUCUGCUGGUGGCGGCAUGUUGUUGGCUGCCGGAAUUCUCGGCUGAUGGCAGCGUUUUCGGCAGCUGUACUGGCCCAGAGAGUGCGGGAGUGAAGAGCACGGAUGUGAAACUCACCCAGAGUGGACGCUGAAGCUCAGCUGCCGGGUGUUCUUCCAGUUCUGGAGACUGCACAGCUUCCUGCUCAAUGUCAGCUGGACCUUCUUCCGGGAGAGAAGCAACUGGUGAGCAUAUGUGGCCCCCUUAGUUGUGUCCAUGUCCUGAGUGCACAAGGGGAAGGGAAGGGAUAGCCCGUUCCCAGGGGUUGGGUGGCCGAGGCUGACAUGAUGUAGACUUCC
rnacentral:lncRNA from 1 species